rnacentral:rRNA from 1 species
GGAAGUCUGGUGCCAGCAGCCGCGGUAAUUCCAGCUCCAAUAGCGUAUAUUAAAGUUGUUGCAGUUAAAAAGCUCGUAGUUGAACCUCGGGAUCAAUGGAUCGGUCAUGCCAUCGGUAUGUACUGGUCUCAUUGGUUCUCACCUUCUAAGGAACCAUGAUGUCAUUCAGUUGAUGUUGUGGGGAAUUAGGACUGUUACCUUGAAAAAAUUAGAGUGUUUAAAGCAGGCUAACGCUUGAAUACAUUAGCAUGGAAUAAUGAAAUAGGACAUCGCAUUCUAUUUUGUUGGUUUCUAGGAUCGAUGUAAUGAUUAAUAGGGAUAGUUGGGGGCAUUAGUAUUCAAUUGUCAGAGGUGAAAUUCUUGGAUUUAUUGAAGACUAACUACUGCGAAAGCAUUUGCCAAGGAUGUUUUCAUUAAUCAAGAACGAAAGUUAGGGGAUCGAAGACGAUCAGAUACCGUCGUAGUCUUAACCAUAAACUAUGCCGACUAGGGAUCGGAUGAUGUUAAUUUUUUAAUGACUCAUUCGGCGCCUUACGGGAAAC